CCUACGGGGGGCAGCAGUGGGGAAUAUUGGGCAAUGGGCGCAAGCCUGACCCAGCAACGCCGCGUGAAGGAAGAAGGCUUUCGGGUUGUAAACUUCUUUUGUCAGGGAAGAGUAGAAGACGGUACCUGACGAAUAAGCCACGGCUAACUACGUGCCAGCAGCCGCGGUAAUACGUAGGUGGCAAGCGUUGUCCGGAUUUAGUGGGUGUAAAGGGCGUGUAGCCGGGUUGACAAGUCAGAUGUGAAAUCCUGCGGCUUAACCGCAGAACUGCAUUGGAAACUGUGGAUCUUGAGUACUGGAGAGGCAGAUGGAAUUCCUAGUGUAGCGGUGAAAUGCGUAGAUAUUAGGAGGAACACCAGUGGCGAAGGCGGUCUGCUGGACAGCAACUGACGGUGAGGCGCGAAAGCGUGGGGAGCAAACAGGAUUAGAUACCCCAGUAGUC
rnacentral:rRNA from 1 species